UAAUUAAUUUCAGUCAAGUCCCAGCAAGAAAAUAUCACGCUAACACGACAAACAUCACCACAUAAGAAAUAAUAAUGGGAGCAGAGUGGAUCUUGUGAAGCUAUUGAAAUCUCUUUAGAAAUGUAUUGAACCUCAUUGCAAACAAAUAGAACCGGCAGAUGAAAAUUCGAAUGGCAUGAAAUCGACGAUCACAAACACCUUGAAUCAAGCUCCAAACCUCAAUUAAAUUCCAUUUCUUUUUGAAGCCAAAUAUGAAAUUGAAAUCAAAAUAUGAACAGCAAUUUGUUUGUGUAGGUUUUAGUAUUUUUCUGACUUAAAAUGGAAAGACGAGAACACUAAACUCCUAAUUAACACUAACAGAAACCUCUCUUAAGUUUUUUCCUUUUUCUUUUGCAGCUUGCGGCUGAUUUUAUUUGGUGAAGGGCCGUCCGCGAGCCUCUGUUUCUCAUCCAUCCUCCUCCUUCUUGUCACUAUCUCUCUGCUCGUUCCCUUAGGUGUGUGAAAGUAAAAAAUGGGAGUGGAGUCAGGGUGGUGAGGGAGCUCGGCGGUAGCUGCUUGGUGGGGAUGACGAUUGGAGGUCUCUUGUUGUUCAGAAGGAGAAGAUCGAUAGGGGUUUGCUGUCACUUCGUCCCUCUUUGAAGAAAACCUUAAGGCUGCUUCUUUUUGUAUCUUAGGUUCUAGGGUUCUUUGUCUUGUAUUUUAAGGUUCAAGAAGAAGAUCAUAUGACCGGGUUGUUCUCUUCGGGCUUUUUGGGUUAGAGAUUAGGAUAGGGUAAUAAUGGAAAGUGAAUUAAGUCUUUUGGGAUUCAAAAUUGG
rnacentral:lncRNA from 1 species